AUGGGGCGCAUUGGCUCAGCUCCAAUUGACAAGGUAUUUGAUCUUAUUGAUAAUUACACUGGCAAUUGGAAUGUGGAACUGGUUCGUCAAAAUUUUCUACAGUCGGAUGCGGAGGCUAUUCUCAAUAUUCCUCUAAACCCUGCUGGUGGAGAUGAUAUCUUAGCAUGGUCAUUGGAAAAGUCUGGUAGCUAUACAGUGAAAUUUGCGUAUCGAUCUCUUGUGACUCGCAACGAGCAUGGCUCUCUAGAGGAAGGGAUGACUACGGAAUCUUCAUCAGCAAAUAAACACUUAUGGUCUGCACUUUGGAAACUCCAUGUGAUACCAAAGGUACGAAUAUUCGGUGGAGAGUACUUCGGGGUAUCUUACCAGAUUCAGUUACUCUUAAGUACAAGCACAUCAAACCCAUUGGCCGGUGUGACAUCUGUCGUGCAGUGGAUGAAGAUUUGA
rnacentral:rRNA from 1 species